rnacentral:rRNA from 1 species
CGGCGAGUGAAGCGGCAGCAGCUCAAAUUUGAAAUCUGGCCCGCUCCGGGCCCGAGUUGUAAUUUGCAGAAGAUGCCUUGGGCGGGGCCCCGGUCUAAGUUCCUUGGAACAGGACGUCGCAGAGGGUGAGAAUCCCGUACGUGACUGGGCGCCCCCGUCCGUGUAAGGCUCUUUCGACGAGUCGAGUUGUUUGGGAAUGCAGCUCUAAAUGGGUGGUAUAUUUCAUCUAAAGCUAAAUAUGGGCCAGAGACCGAUAGCGCACAAGUAGAGUGAUCGAAAGAUGAAAAGCACUUUGGAAAGAGAGUUAAACAGUACGUGAAAUUGUUGAAAGGGAAGCGCUUGCAGCCAGACUUGCGCCGGGGCGAUCAUCGGGGGUUCUCCCCCCUGCACUCGCGCCGGCGCAGGCCAGCAUCGGCUCCCGCGGCUGGAGAAAGGCCCCAGGAACGUGGCCCCCCUCGGGGGGUGUUAUAGCCUGGGGCGCCAUGCAGCCCGCGGGGACCGAGGACCGCGCUUCGGCUAGGAUGCUGGCGUAAUGGCUGUAAGCGACCCGUCUUGAAACACGGACCAAGGAGUCUAACAUCUAUGCGAGUGUUUGGGUGUGAAACCCAUGCGCGGAAUGAAAGUGAACGGAGGUGAGAGCCCCUGAGGGCGCAUCAUCGACCGAUCCUGAUGUCUUCGGAUGGAUUUGAGUAGGAGCAUAGCUGUUGGGACCCGAAAGAUGGUGAACUAUGCGUGAAUAGGGUGAAGCCAGAGGAAACUCUGGUGGAGGCUCGCAGCGGUUCUGACGUGCAAAUCGAUCGUCAAAUUUGCGUAUAGGGGCGAAAGACUAAUCG